GAUGAACGCUGGCGGCGUGCCUAAUACAUGCAAGUCGAGCGAACAGACGAGGAGCUUGCUCCUCUGACGUUAGCGGCGGACGGGUGAGUAACACGUGGAUAACCUACCUAUAAGACUGGGAUAACUUCGGGAAACCGGAGCUAAUACCGGAUAAUAUAUUGAACCGCAUGGUUCAAUAGUGAAAGACGGUUUUGCUGUCACUUAUAGAUGGAUCCGCGCCGCAUUAGCUAGUUGGUAAGGUAACGGCUUACCAAGGCAACGAUGCGUAGCCGACCUGAGAGGGUGAUCGGCCACACUGGAACUGAGACACGGUCCAGACUCCUACGGGAGGCAGCAGUAGGGAAUCUUCCGCAAUGGGCGAAAGCUUGACGGAGCAACGCCGCGUGAGUGAUGAAGGGCUUCGGAUCGUAAAACUCUGUUAUUAGGGAAGAACAAAUGUGUAAGUAACUAUGCACGUCUUGACGGUACCGAAGCAGAAAGCCACGGCUAACUACGU
rnacentral:rRNA from 1 species